UGUGACAGCUAUGCGUAGCUUUACAACGAAUCCUUACAACUAUGCUUUGACAGAGAAGUAUUUUAUGACUAGACGCGUCAUCAUAGAACCCUUUGUGUAAUGCGAGCUUCAAGCUGAAUUUAUGUCUUCAUGUUUUGCGCAGUCAGUCAAGAGCAGUUUCUUAAGCCGUAUCAUUUAGUAACACGGUGACACGAUAUACGGUGCUCGAAAGGACACCAAGUAACACCGAUGACUCCAGUGGUAGCCCUCGCGGCCUGCCUUCGUCGUUGUCGCCGUCGCGACAGUUCCAAGUCAGCAAGAUGUGUCGGGUGUGAAUCCCUACAAGUGGGCCCAUCAAAGACCAAAUUUUCAACGCUUGCUUUUGGGAAUAAACCAAAAGCCUCAAUGUGGACAAGGGUGUCUAGGGGGUAAAUAUGGACAAGGGGAAUGCCCUGAUGGAUGCACAUGCGCAGUAGGAUGGAUCUGCAUUAAUCCAGAAGAGCCAUAUGCCCCUCCUCACCCCGACGAGGAACCUCAUUGAUUAAAACUUCAUCCAGAACAA